AUUGAACGCUGGCGGCGUGCCUAACACAUGCAAGUCGAGCGGUAACAGGUGUAGCAAUACAUGCUGACGAGCGGCGGACGGGUGAGUAACGCUUGGGAAUCUGCCUAUUAGUGGGGGACAACCCGGGGAAACUCGGGCUAAUACCGCAUACGCACUACGGUGGAAAGCCGGGGACCGCAAGGCCUGGCGCUAACAGAUGAGCCCAAGUCGGAUUAGCUAGUUGGUAGGGUAACGGCCUACCAAGGCGACGAUCCGUAACUGGUCUGAGAGGACGACCAGUCACACCGGAACUGAGACACGGUCCGGACUCCUACGGGAGGCAGCAGUGGGGAAUAUUGGACAAUGGGCGAAAGCCUGAUCCAGCGACGCCGCGUGGGUGAAGGAGGCCUGCGGGUUGUAAAGCCCUUUCAGUGGGGAAGAAAGCCUCGAGCUAACACCUCGGGGUCUUGACGUAACCCAUAGAAGAAGCACCGGCUAACUCUGUGCCAGCCCGCCG
rnacentral:rRNA from 1 species